CUUAGACAAUGGGCGCAAGCCUGACCUAGCCAUGCCGCGUGAGUGACGAAGGCCCUAGGGUCGUAAAGCUCUUUCGCCUGUGAUGAUAAUGACAGUAGCAGGUAAAGAAACCCCGGCUAACUCCGUGCCAGCAGCCGCGGUAAUACGGAGGGGGUUAGCGUUGUUCGGAAUUACUGGGCGUAAAGCGCGCGUAGGCGGAUUGGAAAGUUGGGGGUGCAAUCCCAGGGCUCAACCCUGGAACUGCCUCCAAAACUUCCAGUCUGGAGUUCGAGAGAGGUGAGUGGAAUUCCGAGUGUAGAGGUGAAAUUCGUAGAUAUUCGGAGGAACACCAGUGGCGAAGGCGGCUCACUGGCUCGAUACUGACGCUGAGGUGCGAAAGUGUGGGGAGCAAACAGGAUUAGAUACCCUGGUAGUCCACACCGUAAACGAUGAAUGCCAGUCGUCGGCAAGCAUGCUUGUCGGUGACACACCUAACGGAUUAAGCAUUCCGCCUGGGGAGUACGGCCGCAAGGUUAAAACUCAAAGGAAUUGACGG
rnacentral:rRNA from 1 species